UACGUAGGGUGCGAGCGUUAAUCGGACUUACUGGGCGUAAAGCGUGCGCAGGCGGUUUUGUAAGACAGAUGUGGACUCCCCGGGCUUAACCUGGGAAUGGCAUUUUGAACUGGCAGUCUAGAGUGUGUCAGAGGGGGGUGGAAUUCCACGUGUAGCAGUGAAAUGCGUAGAUAUGUGGGGGAACACCAAUGGCGAAGGCAGCCCCCUGGGAUAACACUGACGCUCAUGUACGAAAGCGUGGGUAGCAAACAGG
rnacentral:rRNA from 1 species